AUUGAACGCUGGCGGCAGGCCUAACACAUGCAAGUCGAGCGAGAAAGGUCUUCGGACUGAGUACAGCGGCGGACGGGUGAGUAAUGCGCAGGGAUCUACCUGGUAGUGGGGGAUAACUCGGGGAAACUCGAACUAAUACCGCAUACGCCCUACGGGGGAAAGCGGGGGACCGUUCGGGCCUCGCGCUAUCAGAUGAGCCUGCGUAGGAUUAGCUUGUUGGUGAGGUAAAGGCUCACCAAGGCGACGAUCCUUAGCUGGUCUGAGAGGAUGAUCAGCCACACUGGAACUGAGACACGGUCCAGACUCCUACGGGAGGCAGCAGUGGGGAAUAUUGCGCAAUGGGCGAAAGCCUGACGCAGCCAUGCCGCGUGUGUGAAGAAGGCCCUUGGGUUGUAAAGCACUUUAAGCAGGAAAGAAGGCCCCAGGGUUAAUAACCUUGGGGAUUGACGUUACCUGCAGAAUAAGCACCGGCUAACUCCGUGCCAGCAGCCGCGGUAAUGU
rnacentral:rRNA from 1 species